AGAUUGAACGCUGGCGGCAUGCCUAACACAUGCAAGUCGAACGGGAGUAGCAAUACUCUAGUGGCGGACGGGUGAGGAAUACGUAGGAAUUUGCCCUUAAGUGGGGGAUAACCCGGGGAAACCCGGAUUAAUACCGCAUGACCUCGAAAGAGCAAAGUGGGGGAUCGCAAGACCUCACGCUUUUGGAGAAGCCUACGUCGGAUUAGCUAGUUGGUGAGGUAAUGGCUCACCAAGGCGACGAUCCGUAACUGGUCUGAGAGGAUGAUCAGUCACGACCGGAACUGACGACGACCGGUCCGGACUCCGUACGGGAGCAGGCAGGUGGGGAAUAGUUGGACGUAAGUGGGACGACGAAGGCCUGAACUCCAGACAAUGGCCCGACGGUUGUGUAGGAA
rnacentral:rRNA from 1 species